GUGCUCGUUUCGGCAGCACAUAUACCAAAAUUGGAACGAUACAGAGAAGAUUAGUGUGGUCCCUGCGCAAAUUCAUGAAGCAUUCCAUAUUUUU
ensembl:snRNA U6 U6 spliceosomal RNA